rnacentral:misc_RNA from 1 species
GAUGAAGAACGUAGCGAAAUGCGAUAAGUAAUGUGAAUUGCAGAAUUCAGUGAAUCAUCGAAUCUUUGAACGCACAUUGCGCCCGCCAGUAUUCUGGCGGGCAUGCCUGUUCGAGCGUCAUUACAACCCUCAGGCCCCCGGGCCUGGCGUUGGGGAUCGGCAGAAGCCCCCUGUGGGCACACGCCGUCCCUCAAAUACAGUGGCGGUCCCGCCGCAGCUUCCAUUGCGUAGUAGCUAACACCUCGCAACUGGAGAGCGGCGCGGCCAUGCCGUAAAACACCCAUCUUCUGAAUGUUGACCUCGAAUCAGGUAGGAAUACCCGCUGAACUUAAGCAUAUCAAUAAGCGGAGGA